GGUCCGGCCGGGAACUCAAAGGAGACUGCCAGUGAUAAACUGGAGGAAGGUGGGGAUGACGUCAAGUCAUCAUGGCCCUUACGAGUAGGGCUACACACGUGCUACAAUGGCGCAUACAAAGAGAAGCGACCUCGCGAGAGCAAGCGGACCUCAUAAAGUGCGUCGUAGUCCGGAUUGGAGUCUGCAACUCGACUCCAUGAAGUCGGAAUCGCUAGUAAUCGUGGAUCAGAAUGCCACGGUGAAUACGUUCCCGGGCCUUGUACACACCGCCCGUCACACCAUGGGAGUGGGUUGCAAAAGAAGUAGGUAGCUUAACCUUCGGGAGGGCGCUUACCACUUUGUGAUUCAUGACUGGGGUGAAGUCGUAACAAGGUAACCGUAGGGGAACCUGCGGUUGGAUCACCUCCUUACCUUAAAGAA
rnacentral:rRNA from 1 species